CAGAGGGAUCCUCCUCGUGUCAUCACUGGGGAGAUGCUCAAGCCUGCCAAUCAUCCUCAUGGCUCUGUGGUGGACUCUCUUCCAGCAGGUGAUGAUUUACUCUUUGAACCUGUCUGUUGCAAUGUCCUUAAUUAAGUCUGUGCUGUAGAAGUGCUGUUGUAUUGUGUUAGAGGCUUCUAAACAACUUAAUCAUUUGAGGCUGCCAAUAAAAAAAAAUGAUUAUAUUAGCUCUUUGUUGUGAUACCAGAACUGCUGCCAAUCUUUGCUUCUCCUAUUUCUGGGUAUUCACCAUGUCAGGGGCUGGAAGGCACAUCAAAAGAUCAGUCCAACCCCCCCUGCCAGAGAAGGAUCACCUA